rnacentral:rRNA from 1 species
UGAGGAAUUUUGCGCAAUGGGGGAAACCCUGACGCAGCAACGCCGCGUGGGUGAUGAAGGCCUUCGGGUCAUAAAGCCCUGUCGGGCGGGAAGAACGUCCCUGCGGGGAAUGACGGUACCGCCAGAGGAAGCACCGGCUAACUCCGUGCCAGCAGCCGCGGUAAUACGGAGGGUGCAAGCGUCAUGCGGAAUUACUGGGCGUAGAGGGCGUGCAGGCGGGAGAGCAAGUCUGAGGUGAAAGCCCGGGGCGUAACCCCGAAAGGGCAUUUGAAACUGCUGUUCUUGAGGUCUGGAGAGGAAGGGAGAAUUCCCGGUGUAGAGGUGAAAUUCGUAGAGAUCGGGAGGAACAUCAGUGGCGAAGGCGCCCUUCUGGACAGCAACUGACGCUGAGACGCGAAAGCGUGGGGAGCAAACA